rnacentral:tRNA from 8 species
GGUAGUCGAGGGCUGGUCGCCCAAAUCCGCCUGAUACGCGGGUCGCGCUGAGUUCGAUCCUCGGGGCUACCAC